rnacentral:rRNA from 1 species
UACCUGGUUGAUCCUGCCAGUAGUGUAUGCUUCUCCUAAAGACUAAGCCAUGCAUGCCUUCGAAUAGAAGAGCAAGUCUCUCUGAAUCUGCGUACGGCUCCGCAAACCAGUUGUAAACCAUAGCUAGCAGGCCUCGGAGACGACCGCAAGUCGUAGCUGGGGCCAAAAGGAUAUCCAUGGUAAUUCUGAGGCUAAUACUUGACUGUAACCCCUGGCUGACCGGGCAACUGGUAGGCUGGGGGACGUGUACGGCUUCGCACACCAUUAAGGAAUGAAUGCACGUUCAGACCGCUUUUCAACACAGAUAGGGGGUAAUCCUUCGGGAGAUAACCCCUGCCUGAGCGGCUCUAGCACGGUGCUUCUGACCUAUCAACUAGAUGGCAGCGUAACGGACAUGCUAUGGUGACAACGGGUACAGAGGAUAAGGGUUCGAUCCUGGAGAGUGGGCCUGAGAGAUUGCUCACACUUCUAAGGAAGGCAGCAGGCGCGCAACGUUCCCAUUGGACAAUGUCCGAGGGCGUUAGGGGACAUAUGAAUGUCUGCCUUAUGGUGGACAAUUCAAAUGGGUUUGUUCUAAACAACCUUUCGAGUAACAAUUGGAGGACAAGUCUGGUAAACGAUGCCAGAUGUCGGACAUUCCAAUAUUCGAUCGCUAUUAAUGGAGAUCCUUCCCUAAAUUCGAUUAAGCUAUUAUGAGGGUGGGUCCUUCCGAAGCGGCUAACCACCGCUGGAGGGGGGGUUCGGCAGAAAGCCGGGUGAGCUCCGGUUGUACAGCUGUAAAUUGCGGGGAACGCCAGGCAUGGGAAAGCUACCAAAGCCUUCGGGAAAUACAUAACCAAGGUCCGCCUUCGGGUGGGGUAACAAUGCGAUCCAGGGGGCUAACAGUCCAGCCCAGCCGACCAUCCUACUACCAAGGGUGGGAAGCACCACACUGGCCAAUCCGCAGCCAAGUCGCUAUCCUUCCGCAAGGGGGAGAGUGCGGAAGGUUCAGAGACUAUAAUCAGUUGGGCGAAAGCUUAAGGGAUAGUCCACUCCCACUGGUAACAGUGUCGGCAGAAGUAAGGAGGAGUAGCUCCCUCCCGAGGCAUGCCGGGUCCUACAAGUGCGGGGUUAAAUGCCCGUGCGAUGCUACAGGACGGUUCUAUAGGGCCAGCACCCGCGGUAAUUCCAGCUCUAAUAGCAUACGUUAAAGUUGUUGCGGUUAAAACGCUCGUAGUCUGCAUAAGAUCCUCAGAAGCCUUUCGCUAGGUCCUUAGGUUCGUCGCCCUGCCAAAGGGCACACCUGGGGGUCAGCAAGGGGGGGACGGGGGUCAACCGUACACUGGGCCGUCUCCCGUCUAACGGUGUUCACAGGGGCUCCUGGCUGGCUUCGGCUUCCGGGCGGCUCUGGUCUGGGUACCAUCUACCAUGACUAAACUGGAGUGAUCAAAGCAUGUCUUUCGACACGUACAGCGCAGCAUGGAAUAAGCUCACCCAUCUGGCCCGCGAAACGGGCUGGCGAGCAGAAAUAGGGAUGUUCGAGGGUGACCGAAUUGCUGGGCGAGUGGUGAAAUACGUUGACCCUAGCAAGUCGACCAAAGGCGAAAGCAGUCAUCAAGGGCAUACCCGUUGAUCAAGAGCGAAAGUUAAGGGUUCGAAGACGAUCAGAUACCGUCGUAGUCUUAACUAUAAAUGAUACAGACUAGGGAUAGGACACUGUCCAUCUCGACUCCUCCUGAAUCUUUGAGAAAUUACCAGUCUUUGGGUUCUGGGGGGAGUAUGGUCGCAAGGCUGAAACUUAACGAUCUCCAAAUGGGUUUCAAAAGUCGGCUCAAAGUGUCCGGCUAGUCCGGUGGGGAGGGCUUCGGCCCUUCCCACUACCCGGUGAAUCGACACUGGUUUCAAGGGCAACAUCGUCAAAUUGUUCGGGAACUCCCUAAAGCUUCAGCUACCGGUCGUGCGGUUAAUAGCCGAAAAAAUCAAGGGCAUUGAUCCCCUAACGGGGGGAGCCGCUUGCGCGAUCACCAGGGUAAUGACCUCGGGUAUGGUAAAAACGCUGGGGAUGAGAGUCGGGAUUAGCCUCCUAGCUCGUUGAAAUGGGUGACCCGCAGCCAAGCUCGUUAAUCGCCCUUCGUGGGUGAACGAGUGCAGUUCACAGGCCAAAUGUCGGUGGGCUUCGUUUCCGAUCCGCGAAAGUGGAGACGAUAGGAGCAUAAGAUAUGGUCGGCCCCCUUGGGAAACCUUGGGGAAUAAGCGUAAAGGAAUUGACGGAAGGGCACACAAAGAGUGGAACCUGCGGCUUACUUGUAGGCCGCCAAAGCAUCGCUUAAAGGGCUUUGCUAGUCACGGUCUAGGCCGGGGCGACAUCAUCAAAUUGCGGGGAAGUCCUUAGAGCCAGCGUAACCAACCACGGCCGAAAGGCGGAAAAAUACAGGGCGUUAAUACCUCUUUGAGUGGGGGAGUCGCUGUCGUGGGGCCCGGGUAAUGACCUUGGGUACGGUAAAAUCACGUUGGAUUGGAUCAUCCGCAGCCAAGUCCCUAAACGUAUUCGGAUUAGUCCGUUUACAGGGAUGCAGUUCACAGACUAAAUGGUGGUGGGUGGUAUGAGCGUUUUACGCCAUACUGCUUAAGAUAUAGUCGGGCCCACCCGAAAGGGUGCCCUGGGAGGAAGCCGAUCUAAUCGGCCCAAGCUCAGGGAGGUCGAUGGUAGCGAUACCGUCGGCUGGGAACCUUACCGUAAUUUGACUCAACACGGGAAAACUCACCAGGUCCGGAUACACGUAUGAAAGUCAAGCUGAAAGACUUUACUCAAUGAUGUAAGUGGUGGUGCAUGGUCGUACUAAGUGCGACAGUGCCUGUAAAACCAGGUGCUAGUGGGCCAGGUGCGCUAUUGCGAGCAUCUGUAACCUGCGACAUUGUCAAAUUGCGGGGAAAUCCAAAGUGGGCUGCAGAUCCGCCUCGGCAUCGAAAGGUCUGGCCGACGGCACCUCAGGGAAACUUGGGGGUAUGGUAAGAAUCUGUAGUCUUGGACCAUCCGCAGCCAAGUCCUAACCACCCUUUGAUAAGCCCUUAGCUCAAAAUGGCGAGCUAAGGCUAUAAGGUUGUAUGGAUGCAGUUCAACGACUAAAUGGCAGUGGGCUGGGUAGCCGGCUUAAGAUAUAGUCUUGCCCACCGGAAGGUGGCCUUGGGAUGAGGGGACUAGCAAUCCCCAGAGCCUAAGGAGGGGUUGUUACGCAUGCAGCCCUGGGAACUAACAGUCUUAGUUCGUGGAUUGAUUUGUCUGGUCUAUUCCGAUAACGAGCGAGACCCCAGCGUUCCUAGUAGGGCCAACAGCCCGACUAGCCGCAAGGCUGGUUAGCUGGCGGCUUAACAUAAGCUUCUUAGACGUAUCAGAGCCGAUAAGGUUCUUGAAAUGGGUUAAUAACAGGUCAGUCAUGCCCUUAGAUGUUCUGGGCCGCACGCGCGUUACAAUGGCAUGUAAAGCGAGUGCCGGUUAACAUGGCAUAUCCGGGGCCGAAAGGUUCUGGUAACCAUUAGUCCCUGCUUAGACUGGGACAGAUCAUUGCAAUUAUUGGUCUCAAACGAGGAAUUUUUAGUAAGCAUAGGUCAUUAACCUUUGCUGAAUGAGUCCCUGCCUUUUGUACACACCGCCCGUCGCUGCUACCGAUUGGGUUUUACAGUUACGCGUUCGGAGGUUGUGGUUACCUGCUUGCCUUCGGGUAGGUAGGGGCCGUGACUGAAGUUCUAAUUACUGUACGGCCUAGAGGAAGCAGAAGUCGUAACAAGGUAAUCGUAGGUGAACCUGCGUUUGGAUCAUUA